GAUGAAGAACGCAGCGAAAUGCGAUACGUAAUGUGAAUUGCAAAUUCAGUGAAUCAUCGAGUCUUUGAGCGCACAUUGCGCCCCCUGGUAUUCCGGGGGGCAUGCCUGUCCGAGCGUCAUUGCUGCCCUCAAGCACGGCUUGUGUGUUGGGCCCCGUCCUCCGAUCCCGGGGGACGGGCCCGAAAGGCAGCGGCGGCACCGCGUCCGGUCCUCGAGCGUAUGGGGCUUUGUCACCCGCUCUGUAGGCCCGGCCGGCGCUUGCCGAUCAACCCAAAUUUUUUAUCCAGGUUGACCUCGGAUCAGGUAGGGAUACCCGCUGAACUUAAGCAUAUCAAUAAGCGGAGGA
rnacentral:misc_RNA from 1 species